rnacentral:rRNA from 1 species
CGGAUCUAGUGGCGGACGGGUUAGUAACGCGUGGGAACGUACCCUUCACUACGGAAUAGUCCCGGGAAACUGGGUUUAAUACCGUAUACGCCCUUCGGGGGAAAGAAUUUCGGUGAGGGAUCGGCCCGCGUUAGAUUAGUUAGUUGGUGGGGUAAUGGCCUACCAAGACUACGAUCUAUAGCUGGUUUGAGAGGAUGAUCAGCAACACUGGGACUGAGACACGGCCCAGACUCCUACGGGAGGCAGCAGUGGGGAAUCUUAGACAAUGGGGGCAACCCUGAUCUAGCGAUGCCGCGUGAGUGAUGAAGGCCUUAGGGUCGUAAAGCUCUUUCGCCUGUGAUGAUAAUGACAGUAGCAGGUAAAGAAACCCCGGCUAACUCCGUGCCAGCAGCCGCGGUAAUACGGAGGGGGUUAGCGUUGUUCGGAAUUACUGGGCGUAAAGCGCACGUAGGCGGAUUAGUCAGUAUGGGGUGAAAUCCCGAGGCUCAACCUCGGAACUGCCCUGUAAACUGCUAGUCUUGAGUUCGAGAGAGGUAAGUGGAAUUCCGAGUGUAGAGGUGAAAUUCGUAGAUAUUCGGAGGAACACCAGUGGCGAAGGCGGCUUACUGGCUCGAUACUGACGCUGAGGUGCGAAAGUGUGGGGAGCAAACAGGAUUAGAUACCCUGGUAGUCCACACCGUAAACGAUGAAUGCCAGUCGUC